UCUCUCUCUGCCCCUCCCCUAGUCAUUCUCUCUUUCUCUCUUUCUCUCUCUCUCUCUCUCAAAAUUAAUAAAUAAACUUAAAAAACAAAGGAUCUUGCUAAAAGCAACAGGGUGAAGUCUUACAAAGUGCAGCGCACUUACCCUUUCAGAACCACAUAAAGCAUUGGAAAGAUUGCAGUCUGCCUUCCACACUACUGAAGCUGAUAGACCAAAUAUUUCGUCAUGAUGUAAAAAAGACAGAAGAUUCUCGUCACAUGUUGCCAAGGAGGCUAAUCAAAAGAAAACUCUUCCUGGAAGGCAAGGCUUAGACCCAUGGAGGACAAUGAAUCCAGAAUCCCUCCCAGUGGACAGAAGCAGAGACUAAUCAAGGAACAUGAUCUACUACCAACAAGAGGGAUCUGAAGUGUUCACCUAGCUGGAUUUCAGAUAUCUAUGGACCAGAGAUUGAUUGUGGCCUGUCUCUCAUUAUUCUCUUUUCAAACACUAGUGCUUUUUUUGGUGGAUAUUCCACCAUUCUAUGACGGAUGUGUGAGUCUGAGGAGUGCCAUCAUUUAAAGUAGAGAUUAUUACAAAAUGAUGGAUUUACAGUCUGAUGCCAUGAUUGGAUAAGAUAUUUAGGAUGUCAUUCUUGGGGUGUAUUUUUGUGCACAAGGAAGGGAAAUAAAUGCUUGUGACUAAGA